ensembl:snoRNA SNORA70 Small nucleolar RNA SNORA70
AAGAAAAGAAAUAUAACUUUGGGUUCCUUUUCACUCAUGAGGAUGUGGUGUGCUACAGCUGCAAACAGUAGCCCUCUCCGUAGUAUCAGCAACCCAUUGUUUAUAUGGAUACCCUAAGGGACCUUGGAGGUAGCC